AAACUUUCAACAACGGAUCUCUUGGUUCUGGCAUCGAUGAAGAACGCAGCGAAAUGCGAUAAGUAAUGUGAAUUGCAGAAUUCAGUGAAUCAUCGAAUCUUUGAACGCACAUUGCGCCCUCUGGUAUUCCGGGNGGCAUGCCUGUUCGAGCGUCAUUA
rnacentral:rRNA from 1 species